GGAAGAGCGACGUCCCCGGUGGGGUGCCUGGUCUUCAAAACCAGUGAGGCGCACAUUGUGCCUGGUGGGUUCGACUCCUACCUCUU
rnacentral:tRNA from 1 species